AGAGUUUGAUCAUGGCUCAGAUUGAACGCUGGCGGUAACUUUUAAACAUGCAAGUCGAGCGGUAACAGACAUAAAGAUUCAGCUUGCUGAAUCCGGUGCUGACGAGCGGCGAACGGGUGAGUAACGCGUAGGAAUCUACCCAGUAGCGGGGGAUAGCCCGAGGAAACUCGGAUUAAUACCGCAUACGCCCUGAGGGGGAAAGGGGGCAGUUUACUGCUCUCACUAUUGGAUGAGCCUGCGUAAGAUUAGCUUGUUGGUGGGGUAAUGGCCUACCAAGGCAACGAUCUUUAGCUGGUCUGAGAGGACGAUCAGCCACAUUGGGACUGAGACACGGCCCAGACAUCUACGGAUGGCAGCAGUUAAGAAUAUUGGACAAUGGGGGCAACCCUGAUCCAGGUAUACCGCGUGUGUGAAGAAGGCCCUAGGGUUGUAAAGCACUUUAAUCAGAGAAGAAGCAUUUUAAGUUAAUACCUUAUUAUGUUGACGUUACCUGAAGAAUAAGGACCGGCUAACUCCGUGCCAGCAGCCGCGGUAAUACGGAGGGUCCAAGCGUUAAUCGGAAUUACUGGGCGUAAAGCGCGCGUAGGCGGUUUAGCAAGUUGUAUGUGAAAGCCCUGGGCUCAACCUAGGAACUGCAUUCAAAACUACUAAGCUAGAGUACGAGAGAGGAGAGUAGAAUUUCUGGUGUAGCGGUGAAAUGCGUAGAUAUCAGAAGGAAUACCAAUGGCGAAGGCAGCUCUCUGGCUCGUCACUGACGCUGAGGUGCGAAAGCGUGGGUAGCAAACAGGAUUAGAUACCCUGGUAGUCCACGCCGUAAACGAUG
rnacentral:rRNA from 1 species